rnacentral:rRNA from 1 species
UACGUAGGCAGCAAGCGUUGUUCGGAAUUACUGGGCGUAAAGAGUGUGUAGGCGGUGCUCUAAGUUCGGUGUGAAAUCUCCCGGCUCAACUGGGAGGGUGCGCCGGAAACUGGAAUGCUUGAGCGUGGGAGAGGAAAGCGGAAUUCCUGGUGUAGCGGUGAAAUGCGUAGAUAUCAGGAGGAACACCUGCGGUGUAGACGGCUUUCUGGACCGUAACUGACGCUGAGACACGAAAGCGUGGGGAGCAAACAGG